rnacentral:rRNA from 1 species
GACAGAGGAUGCAAGCGUUAUCCGGAAUGAUUGGGCGUAAAGCGUCUGUAGGUGGCUUCUUAAGUCCGCCGUCAAAUCCCAGGGCUCAACCCUGGACAGGCGGUGGAAACUACCAAGCUGGAGUACGGUAGGGGGCAGAGGGAAUUUCCAGUGGAGCGGUGAAAAUGCGUAGAUAUUGGAAAGACCACCAAUGGCGAAGGCACUCUACUGGGCCAUUACUGACACUGAGAGACGAAAGCUAGGGGAGCAAAUGGG